GACGAACGCUGGCGGCGUGCUUAACACAUGCAAGUCGAACGGUAAGGCUCCAGCUUGCUGGGGUACACGAGUGGCGAACGGGUGAGUAACACGUGGGUGACCUGCCCUGCACUUCGGGAUAAGCCUGGGAAACUGGGUCUAAUACCGGAUAGGACCAUGGUGUGGAUACUGUGGUGGAAAGUUUUUUCGGUGUGGGAUGGGCCCGCGGCCUAUCAGCUUGUUGGUGGGGUAUUGGCCUACCAAGGCGCCGACGGGUAGCCGGCCUGAGAGGGUGGACGGCCACAUUGGGACUGAGACACGGCCCAGACUCCUACGGGAGGCAGCAGUGGGGAAUAUUGCACAAUGGGCGGAAGCCUGAUGCAGCGACGCCGCGUGGGGGAUGACGGCCUUCGGGUUGUAAACUCCUUUCGCCAUCGACGAAGGGUGUCUGACGGUAGAUGGAGAAGAAGCACCGGCUAACUACGUG
rnacentral:rRNA from 1 species